rnacentral:rRNA from 1 species
AAGUUCUGCCCAGGACACUCACGGGCUUUGUUUUGGUGGCGACUGGCCCUGGCUUGAGGGCAGGCUCUGCUGCGCCGCACUUUACGCUGAGGGACUGCAAAAUGGCUGCGGGCCUCGGUCUGCUGCGCGCUCCGCGGCUCCAGGCUCGCCCCUCUCGGCGGCAGCGCAGUGCCUGCGGAGUGCUUCUCCGCCUAGCCUAGGAGCACAAAAUGGCAGCUUUGCCCCCCGGCGCUGCAGCGCCGAGGCGGCCAAGCUAGCGCUUUGGCUUGGCUGCCCUGUUGGCGUGCUGCGCAAGCUGGGGCGGCAGCUGCCCAGCGCCACAAUAUGACUCCCUCUUCACGCGCGUGAGGCUCCCGGAGCUGACGCGGCGGCUGAGCGCGGCUAGCCUCUGGCUUUAGAGGCGGCUGCGCGCAGCUGCCGCGCCUGGGGCUGCCUUCUCGCUACUUAGAGGGGCAAGUUAGCAAGCUCAAGGUGUCCAAAUGGGGACUA